rnacentral:rRNA from 1 species
UACAGAGGGUGCUAGCGUUGUUCGGAAUCAUUGGGCGUAAAGGGCGUGUAGGCGGUUUGCUAAGUCAUGUGUGAAAUCCCUCGGCUCAACCGGGGAACGACGCAUGAAACUGGCAAGCUAGAGUACCAAAGAGGGGGGUGGAAUUCCCGGGUGUAGCGGUGAAAUGCGUAGAUAUCGGGAGGAACACCUGUGGCGAAGGCGG